UACGAAGGGGGCUAGCGUUGUUCGGAUUUACUGGGCGUAAAGCGCACGUAGGCGGACUCUUAAGUCGGUGGUGAAAUCCUGGAGCUCAACUCCAGAACUGCCUUCGAUACUGGGAGUCUCGAGUCCGGGAGAGGUGAGUGGAACUGCGAGUGUAGAGGUGAAAUUCGUAGAUAUUCGCAAGAACACCAGUGGCGAAGGCGGCUCACUGGCCCGGUACUGACGCUGAGGUGCGAAAGCGUGGGGAGCAAACAGG
rnacentral:rRNA from 1 species